rnacentral:lncRNA from 1 species
CUUAUAAAUUUUAUUAACUAUGAAUUUGCAUUCAGGUAUCGAAGAUAAAAUUUAUUCGUUCAUUGUGUGUUAAUUUGCGUUUUUUGAUUGAGUUAAGCCUUCCAAUUGAUAUUUUAUAUUGUGUUUUCUAUGUUGUGAUGUUAUACUAUUGUUUCAGAAAAGGGAGAAGGUUUGGUACCAUUAAAACGUUUAAUCCCGCUGCAAAUGUUUGCACCUGUCCUAAGUCAGGA